rnacentral:rRNA from 1 species
AACGAACGCUGGCGGCAGGCUUAACACAUGCAAGUCGAGCGCCCCGCAAGGGGAGCGGCAGACGGGUGAGUAACGCGUGGGAACGUACCCUUUGCUACGGAAUAGCUCCGGGAAACUGGAAUUAAUACCGUAUGUGCCCUACGGGGGAAAGAUUUAUCGGCAAAGGAUCGGCCCGCGUUGGAGUAGCUAGUUGGUGGGGUAAUGGCCUACCAAGGAGACGAUCCAUAGCUGGUCUGAGAGGAUGAUCAGCCACAUUGGGACUGAGACACGGCCCAAACUACUACGGGAGGCAGCAGUGGGGAAUAUUGGACAAUGGGCGCAAGCCUGAUCCAGCCAUGCCGCGUGAGUGAUGAAGGCCUUAGGGUUGUAAAGCUCUUUCACCGGAGAAGAUAAUGACGGUAUCCGGAGAAGAAGCCCCGGCUAACUUCGUGCCAGCAGCCGCCGUAACAC